rnacentral:lncRNA from 1 species
UCAUCUUCAAAUAACCCAGAUCCAUCAUCAUCUUCAAAUAAUUACUCCAACAUAUUAGAUCCCAUCUGCAAGGUUAACUUGAACCCUAUCCACUAAAACCCUUCUUCACCAAACACAUAUCCAAACUGGGGAUCAAGAUUCUCACAUUGACUCAUCAAUGGCGGAUGACGACAUUGAAGAAACUGCCGCUCCGAUUUCUUCAAACCGAUCAAAAAAAGAAAGAGGCUCACACCGACGCUUCUAACAGGCCAAAAAGGUUCUUCAAUCAAGUUAAUUACACCUUGUAGAUGGGAUCUUUUUUCGAUUUUAACUCUGUAUGAAUUGGUGGUUGAGGUGGCUGGUGAUGACGACCGACGGCGACAAACCAGAGCUGCAGCGGCGGCGGGUGGCGGCGGAGCACGACGGCGACGAUGGUGGUGGGGUUCUGCUGCGACGAUGAUG